rnacentral:rRNA from 1 species
UACGUAGGCAGCAAGCGUUGUUCGGAGUUACUGGGCGUACAGGGUGUGUAGGCGGUCGUUCAAGUCGCGUGUGAAAGCCCCCGGCUCAACUGGGGAGGGUCACGCGAUACUGAUCGACUCGAAGGCAGGAGAGGGUAGUGGAAUUCCCGGUGUAGUGGUGAAAUGCGUAGAUAUCGGGAGGAACACCAGUGGCGAAGGCGACUACCUGGCCUGUUCUUGACGCUGAGGCGCGAAAGCUAGGGGAGCAAACGGG